AUUGAACGCUGGCGGAAUGCUUUACACAUGCAAGUCGAACGGCAGCACGGACUUCGGUCUGGUGGCGAGUGGCGAACGGGUGAGUAAUGUAUCGGAAUGUGCCCAGUCGUGGGGGAUAACGUAGUGAAAAUUACGCUAAUACCGCCUACGAUCUAUGGAUGAAAGCGGGGGAUCGCAAGACUUCGCGCGAUUGGAUCGGCCGAUAUCCGCUUAGGUAGUUGGUGGGGUAAAGGCCCACCAGUCAAACGAUCUGUAGUUGGUCUGAGAGGAUGAACAGCCACACUGGAACUGAGCCACGGUCCAGACUCCUACGGGAGGCAGCAGGGGGGAAUUUUGGACAAUGGGCGAAAGCCUGAUCCAGCCAUUCCGCGUGCAGGAUGAAGGCCCUCGGGUUGUAAACUGCUUUUGUACAGAACGAAAAGGUUUCUACUAAUACUAGGAGCUCAUGACGGUACUGUAAGAAUAAGCACCGGCUAACUACGUGCCAGCAGCCGCCGUAA
rnacentral:rRNA from 1 species